rnacentral:rRNA from 1 species
GAUGAACGCUGGCGGCGUGCCUAAUACAUGCAAGUCGAGCGAACAGAUAAGGAGCUUGCUCCUUUGACGUUAGCGGCGGACGGGUGAGUAACACGUGGGUAACCUACCUAUAAGACUGGAAUAACUCCGGGAAACCGGGGCUAAUGCCGGAUAACAUGUUGAACCGCAUGGUUCUACAGUGAAAGGCGGCUUUGCUGUCACUUAUAGAUGGACCCGCGCCGUAUUAGCUAGUUGGUGAGGUAACGGCUCACCAAGGCAACGAUACGUAGCCGACCUGAGAGGGUGAUCGGCCACACUGGAACUGAGACACGGUCCAGACUCCUACGGGAGGCAGCAGUAGGGAAUCUUCCGCAAUGAGCGAAAGCCUGACGGAGCAACGCCGCGUGAGUGAUGAAGGUCUUCGGAUCGUAAAACUCUGUUAUUAGGGAAGAACAAAUGCGUAAGUAACUGUGCGCGUCUUGACGGUACCUAAUCAGAAAGCCACGGCUAACUACGUG